AUGCUAAUCAUCCCACUCAGUCUCCCCGUCAUGUCCUGGAACAUGAACGCAUACAAUCGAAACUCCUGGGCAGCCGUCGACGGCAUCCCCAGGGACAUCCCAUUGCUGGAUUUGACCAAAGUGUUCCCAGCUUCAGGGCCACUGUCAAAUCGUCUUGUCGUCGCCAAUCUUAGGCUGGAGAAAACCGAAUGUUUAUUACUCCCAACCAUUAAUGAAGGAAAAAAACAGAUGAAUCAUGAACUUCUAAGGCAAAUGAGUAAGAUCUUUGGGGCUGAUGGGAUAACACUGGAGGCUGUAGCACCCAGGGAGUCGGAUCCGGUAAUAACACUUUAA
rnacentral:rRNA from 1 species